rnacentral:lncRNA from 10 species
GUGGGGGAGUUACUGAGCAUGCGCCCAGGUAGGGGCGUGGGGGAGUUACUGAGCAUGCGCCCGGGUAGGGGCGUGGGGGAGUUACUGAGCAUGCGCCCGAGGGUGUUUCGGGGCGUCCGAAGCGGGCGUGCUCCAGCCUGCUCAGCAGCGAGUGGUUGGAAAUUAGCAAAGUGAGAGGGUGAAAGGAAGCAGGAGGAGGAGGGAGUUCUAGCGAAGACUUCGGAGGGAAGCAACCCAUCCCCUGCCACAAGAAAGCACCGCCACUCCAGUGGGAACGGACACGCGUGCACACAGCCACGAGUGAGGAGAGAAUACAGCAGUUCCAAGGACAAGGGAUUCGUACCACUGCUCCUCACUCAGUAAAUAGCAGAGACAGAAUUUGAACGUGAGUCUGACUGAUUCCAAAACCCAUGUAAUAUCCCUGCAUUGAAACAGAGGAAAAUCCAAGGAAAGUGCACACAGCUUGGAGACUAUUGGAUAGGGGUCUGAUUCAGUCUUUCCUAAAUUUCCUCAUAAAUUUGCAGUUGAAGUAUCAGGCAG